CAAAAGUUUGGUCCCGGCUUUACUAUCAGCUUCAACCCAAGUUAUACAUGCAAGUAUCCGCACACCCGUGAAAAUGCCCUUAAUCCCCCUUGCCCGGGGACGAGGAGCUAGCAUCAGGCACACUUUAAUCUUUAGCCCAAGACGCUUUGCGAAGCCACACCCCCAAGGGAACUCAGCAGUAAUAAACAUUAAGCCAUAAGUGAAAACUUGACUUAGUUAAGGUUAAUCAGGGCCGGUAAAACUCGUGCCAGCUGCCGCGGUUAAACGAGAGGCCCUAGUUGAAAGUGUACGGCGUAAAGGGUGGUUAGGGAUGACUAUUAACUAAAGCCAAAGACCUCCCAAGCUGUCGUACGAUCCGGAGGCACGAAGUCCCACCACGAAAGUAGCUUUAUUACCCCUUGACCCCACGAAAGCUAAGAAACAAACUGGGAUUAGAUACCCCACUAUGCUUAGCCUUAAACUUAGAUGUCAAACAUACAAAUACAUCCGCCAGGGAACUACGAGCGCUAGCUUGAAACCCAAAGGACUUGACGGUGUCUCAGACCCACCUAGAGGAGCCUGUUCUAGAACCGAUAAUCCACGUUAAACCUCACCACCCCUUGCUCAAUCAGCCUGUAUACCGCCGUCGUAAGCUUACCCUGUGAAGGUCCCAUAGUAAGCAAAAUGGGUAAUUCCCAAGACGUCAGGUCGAGGUGCAGCUCACGGAGUGGGAAGAAAUGGGCUACAUUUUCUACAACAGAACAUUACGAAUAAUACUAUGAAACUGGUAUUUGAAGGUGGAUUUAGUAGUAAAAAAUAAACAGAGAGUUUUUUUGAACCAGGCUCUGAGACGCGCACACACCGCCCGUCACCCUCCCCAUCAAUUAUUAACAAAAAAGUAAAUAACCAGAAAAAUCUAGAAGCGGGGAGGCAAGUCGUAACAUGGUAAGUGUACCGGAAGGUGCACUUGGAACAU
rnacentral:ncRNA from 1 species